rnacentral:pre_miRNA from 1 species
UCGGGGUGAGGUAGUAGGUUGUAUAGUUUAGAGUUACACCGUGGAAGAUAACUGUACAGCCUCCUAGCUUUCCCUGA